UGUAUGAUGGUACCCCCAAUCAAAAGGUCUUCUUAUUGGCUUUACUCCGAUCCGUUACUUCCGUCUGUUGGUGGUGUUCGAAAAACACUACAUGUUCAUUUGGAAACAGUUGGUGAGUGAAUCCUUCAAGUGGCAGAUGUCGGAACGGCGCUUCCAUUUCAUUUUCUCCUCCAUCCCUUCCUAAGAUCAAUGGGGAUGAUGAAAGCGGAGUUCGUAUUGCUGAAGAAUUUGUGUUACGAAGACGUCGUUGUUGAAGAAUUACUAUAAUUACUCUUCACCUAUUGGGCGAGCUUGUAGUUGAAUGGGGUAAUACGCCUGCUCAACUGCUUAGCGCGCGCCCAAAUCGUAAGCGACUAGUUGGAGUCCUGCCUUCUUAGUUCUUCUCCCUCCUCCUCAGCUCACAAAUAAAAAUUAGUACAAGACAGAAUGUUUUGCUGUUGUCCAGGAUGUAGGACUGGUUAUCCUAAGGAAAACACUCAUCAAAAUCAAAGUGAGGAAGGUAUUGUUGAAGAAAAUCAUUGUCUUCAUAAGUUUCCAAAAGAUCCUGAACUUACUAAAGUAUGGGUUAACUCCAUCAGAAGAAAAAACAACUAGGAGCCAAAUCAAUAUUCCAGAAUCUGUAUAAAGCAUUUUCCUAUAUCAACUUUUAUUCAUAAAAGAACGGAUAUUACAUCGAAUUCAGCUUGACAAGAAAUAUAUAGUCCACUUUAACAAUAUAAAUUAAAAUCUGAUGUUGUUCCUAUUUUAUUUCCGGAUAUUCCAAAAAAACUUGAGAAAAUAAACUUAAAAA
rnacentral:lncRNA from 1 species